UACCCAGGGAAUGGUGGUCUUCCCACUCCAUGCCUCCCAUGUGACGUCACAAUGGGAAUGUGGGGUACCAUGUGUCACCCUGUUGGCAUCUCUCCUCCUUCCUAGCCCGCUGCUGGUGACGGCAGACACCCUCCUGUACACCUGUGACCCCCUCAUGUUCCAUACUAGCCUACAGGGAGAAUGACUCCCAGGGCACUUGCUCCUGAUUUGUUUUAGAUUUCUCUAUGAGGCUGAAGCACCUGGAGGGAAGGCGGCCCAUCCUCAACAUGUCUUUGCAGAUGGCACAGCACAAAUUUGGCACAGGCCUCAGCCCUGGAUACGUGUGUGUCAGAACUGCCAGUCUACAAAAGCCAAGACCUGCAGAGAAGGAAGCAGACAAGAAGGAGAAAUGGCCAGACAGACAGGAGGAGCACAGCACUCAGGGUACCCAUCCCCGCAGCAAUGGAUGCUCCCCUGUGCCCUCCUGGUGGCCAUGAGAGGUGCCUGUGUUUACUGGAAAGCAGAGUUUCCAAAGGUUACCCAGCCUACCAUGAGCACGAACACUCCCAGAAACUCUGCCAGGCACUGUCGGACCAGGUGGCUGCGGAUCUGGAGCCUGCUCUUGACUUUGGCCAGGGGGUGGCUGUAGGCCAUGGUGAGGACACCCUGUCUCUGGCUGCUGCUCCCUCCGUCUGCAUAGGCACACGAGUAGUGCCUGCCAGAUAAGGAACAGACUUUAAAACCAAUUACCUCAGCUCUUGAACAGCAGUAUCUGUACACGUGUGUAGGCUAAGGACAUAGAGAUGAUGGGAGAAUGUCCAAGGACAAGCUUGGUGCACGACCAGAGCCUGGAGUUUGCCCGGGCUCUGUGUACUUUGUCUGCCAUUGUCAUUCUUCCUGUGCUGAUGGGCAGGAGGAAGUGUCCUGCAUCAAUGCAGGUGGCCUCGACCACCCUGGAAGGAAGCACCACUCCUCCCACUCUGCUCAUGAGGGACUGGAGACCCUCAGGACUCUCCAAGGCCACACAGCUACUUAAGGGCUAAGCCUGAAUUCAAAUCCAGAUCUUCUGACUCUCCAUCCCCUAUUGCACAAUGCUUUUCAUGUGGAAUGCGAAGUGUUUCUUCCAUUUGGAUGCUUACAAAGUUCCACAGUCAUCCAGAGAAGCUGGGCCAACGACCAGAAGCUGCAGAAAUGAAAUCCACUCGGUGAACACUUGCACUUCCCUCGUGCAGAGCUCACCUUGGUUAGAAAGUGCUACAGCUUUGUGUCCCCUGCCAUGGCUAAAGGAGCACUUUUUGCCCACAGGGAGCCCCACCCCCCCCUUCUCUGGAUGCUUGCCACCCUGAUUCUGCAUAACACAGAGCCACCACUUCCUACUUCUUAUCACAAGCCUCCAAUUAGCUUCAUUCAACUAUGAGUCAAAUUCCAGACCUGGGGAGCAGGGGAACCCAAUUUAAGAGUUGGUGUCAGGAGUGGUUCCACAAAAUCUAGAACGGAAUUUGGGCGAUCACUCACGGGCUGGUUGACAAGAACUCUAUCAUGGUAGUAGGUAGAAUAUGGAUCGUCUCUAGCUUGAAAUAAUGCAAUGAUUAAAACGGCCAGCAGUGGGCAGCUGGAAGCGGUGACUGGUUGGAAGGACAUGCACUUGUGCAGUAUCUCCAGCACUGAAGAAGAGGCUGAGGGAAAUGGUCACUGGGUUCUGCAAAACCCAUCACCAAGCAAAGGCAGACCGCAAAAGCCACUGGGCUCCCUUGACAGCAUUUCAGGAAAGCCUAACCUCUUGCAACCAGUGAGCAUUAGAGUGGAGGACCAGCUCAGAUGUGAAGUGUAUGAGUAGCAGAGUUUUAGAGAAAGUGCAAUUCUCAGCCCCAGUAGGUUUCCUGUGUCAAGGGUAGGGUCCUGAAAGAAAAAGGGUAGGAUCCUGACACUUGAGAUAGGGACAUCUGGGUAGAUGCAACUAAGAAUCCUGAAUCCCGAUUCCUCUGAACCUUCUCUCAAAUCAUUUUGAUUUUCCUUUGUCUCUAGUGUUCUGAAGUAGUGUGGGUUUAUUUUUUUCCUUGCUAUUUAGCAUGUAGCGGGUCUUUCAGGUUAGAAGUAAAAUUCUCGGGCAGCCCCGGUGGCUCAGUGGUUUAGCGCCACCUUCAGCCCAGGGCCUGA